GACGAACGCUGGCGGCGUGCCUAAUACAUGCAAGUAGAACGCACAGUUUAUACCGUAGCUUGCUACACCAUAGACUGUGAGUUGCGAACGGGUGAGUAACGCGUAGGUAACCUGCCUGGUAGCGGGGGAUAACUAUUGGAAACGAUAGCUAAUACCGCAUAACAUUAAUUAUUGCAUGAUAAUUAAUUGAAAGGUGCAAUUGCACCACUACCAGAUGGACCUGCGUUGUAUUAGCUAGUAGGUGAGGUAACGGCUCACCUAGGCGACGAUACAUAGCCGACCUGAGAGGGUGAUCGGCCACACUGGGACUGAGACACGGCCCAGACUCCUACGGGAGGCAGCAGUAGGGAAUCUUCGGCAAUGGACGAAAGUCUGACCGAGCAACGCCGCGUGAGUGAAGAAGGUUUUCGGAUCGUAAAGCUCUGUUGUAAGAGAAGAACGGGUGUGAGAGUGGAAAGUUCACACUGUGACGGUAUCUGACCAGAAAGGGACGGUUAACUACGUG
rnacentral:rRNA from 1 species